rnacentral:rRNA from 1 species
CCUACGGGAGGCAGCAGUGGGGAAUAUUGCACAAUGGGGGAAAGCCUGAUGCAGCAACGCCGCGUGAGUGAAGAAGUACCUCGGUAUGUAAAGCUCUAUCAGCAGGGAAGAAAAUGACGGUACCUGACCAAGAAGCCACUGCAAACUACGUACCAGCAGCCGCGGUAAUACGUAGGGGACACGCGUUAUCCGGAUUUACUGGGUUUAAAGGGAAUGUAGACGGUGUGGCAGGUCUGAAGUUAAAGCCCGGGGCUUAACGCCGGGACUGCCUUUGAAACUGUCUUGCUGGAGUGUGGGAGAGGUGAGCGGAAUUCCUAGUGUAGCGGUGAAAUGCGUAGAUAUUAGGCGGAACACCAGUGGCGAAGGCGGCUUACUGGACCGUAACUGACGUUGAUGCUCGAAAGCGUGGGUAGCAAACAGGAUUAGAUACCCUUGUAGUC